UCCUCAUUUCUUGAGCGCAAACAUCAGUAUGACUCAAGCCCAUAAACAUAAUUAUUGUCGUGUCUCUCAUGUCUUUGUAGUCUGUGAUCAGUGUUGCGAUAGAGUAGGUCAUGUCACUAGAAUCAGGAAGUAAGGGCAUGUUUCAGCACAGUGUUGAAAGAGAACGCUGCUUGUUCUAUUCUCUCCUGCAGUUCGGCAAAACAAUUACCUACAUUUUGUGUUAUACAAGGCAUCGUUGCAGGUUUCUUAGACUAAAAAAGCUCCUGUACGGGCAGAGAGAAAGAAGAAACCUCGUUGCACCUGCCUCAGUGAACUCAAAGAUGCUGUUGAGAUGAGCCAAAAACACUGUGGCUGUCUUAUAUCCUGCACCUGUGACCGUUGGGCAGCAGCCAUGCGCCUGAUGUUUGACAAGACAAGACGCCCACUGUGACUCAGUAAAAGAAACCAUUGAUGGUUAGUAGGUCAACAACAUUUGAGUGUUUACGUAUGGAAUACAAAUGAUGAAGAGGAUCUUGUUGUGCUGAUAAACUGUGUUGGAAAAGGUUAGUUGACAGCCGUAUUCACUCCUUGUACUCCUUGGCUUUGUGUCGACCUGCCACAUAUAUUUCACAGUUGGAGUAGGAGGUGUUUCUGAAGUACAAUUUAAACUAAUGUCUGCUUCUGUCUGAUUCAUGGACUCCGAGGGAACUAUUCAUACCAGGCAACAAAAAUAAGACAGGAGUGUUUCCAGGAUUGCCCAAUUUAGCGCUAAGGUCUUUCAGGAUACCGCAGUGAUCAUCAAAGUACACUUCUCCAAAAUUACGGUUUAAGGUUUGAAGUCAAUGGAUGAAUGUGAGACUGAAAAAGAUUGUGAAGACGACAACUAUACAGCUGGCUAUGGCUAAAAACAGGUAAUUGCGAUCUUUCAUCUAGCAGCCGGAAAAAAAGACCAAAACACACAUUAAAAAGAUGUUUAUCAAGGAAAAUAAGUGGACACCGUCCCAGCAUGCGUGAUUCAGGGUUUACCUAAUCUAAAGCAGUGGAAAUUGUAUUGCUCGGCACAUAUGUGGCCUAGAGGUGCACUGCUUUUCCAUUUUCUGAGGAUACAAUAACAACCACCAGAUGAGGCAUAUGACAUGAGUGGCAAAAGGAAAUCUAAGAGGAAGCAAAGUUUUUUCGACCAAGUAGAUGCCUAAUCCAAAAUAACUACCUCAGUCCUCUUCCCUAAUCUCGUUCCAAACCAGCCUAUACUUUCUGCUGCCAAAACCCUUGUGUUUAAUGGGAACAUCCGUUACUGCAAUGUGUUAAAAGCCUUUGUGUGCUGGUCGCUUUCAUGGUACUUUGCUCCUGAACAGCUUCGACUGCCCACACAGGAAGGGAUACAGUAUUGUAUAUCACUGGCUGCCAAACAGGAAAUAUGGACACUUCAGAGCGUUGAUAAAGGCUUAGCUCUACGUUUUCCUGUUGACACAACAGCUUUAAGCUCACACGACUCCCAAUUCUAUCUUAAAUUACAAUCAAAAAUCCUUUUUGGUGAGGUUGUUUCGAGAGAUAAUAAUGCAUGAGUUAUGUCCAAGUCUAAGAACACGAUUAAGGACAGCUUCUUUCACCAGUUGAUACUGCAGUAUUUGUCUCAAGGUAAUAAAGAAACUAUUUGUUUUAUGCAAGUAGAGUAAAAUCCCUCCAUUGCGGGUUCUGCGGUUCACAGUCCCAGUAUUUCACAAAUUAGUUUGAGAAGUGAUGUCAAUAUUAUACUUUUACCAAUUGCCAGCAUUUUAAAUUUAAAUCCUGCCCACUAUGAAACAAUGCCCAUAUUUACUGAUUCAGCCUCAAUCUCGUUUCAUCAGCCAUGGACUAGAAGUUGUGUUUUAUCAGGAGAGAGAGGAGCUGUUGGCCUUGCUGGUCACUUUGAUGUUUUCCUUGACUGUACGGAAUGUAAUGUUAGCUGAGUGGGAUUACAAGGGUCGUACAAAAACUGCCUUGAUGGAGCCAUCCAGGUAAAGAAAAGAAGAAACGUAGCCAGUCGGCAACUGCCCAUAACCAUGUCUGUAAAAUAAAUAACUGAAAAAUUGUUUUAAAAAUACCUAGGUCCUUUAAAGGGGUGGUUCUCAGAAAGUGUGGUCUAAGUUGAUGGUCAAAUGCAGACUCAUUUUGAGUUUUUUUGCCUUUACAACGAAUCACCAGAUCUAAUUGUUUACAAUAUUGCAGACAUAAUGCAGAGAAAAAAUAAAAAAAAACUUGACUGAG